rnacentral:tRNA from 1 species
GGGGAUAUAGCUCAGUGGGAGAGUGUUUGCCUGGCAUACACAGAGCCCUGGGUUCAAACCUCAGCACUGCCA